rnacentral:rRNA from 1 species
UGACCCCAGGUCAGGCGAGAUUACCCGCUGAGUUUAAACAUAUGAAUAAGCGGAGGAAAAGAAACUUCCAAGGAUUCCCUUAGUAACGGGGAGCUAAUCGGGAACAACCCAACCUUAAAAUCGGGCGGCUCCAUCGUCCGAAUUGUAUUCUGGAGAAGCGUCCUCAGCGGAGGAUCGGGCCCAUGUCCCCUGUAAGGGGACGCCAGAGAGGGUGACAACCCCGUUGUCCCUUGAUCCUGCCACACGACAAGGCGCUGUCUACGAGUCGGGCUGUUUGAGAAUGCAACCCAAAUCAGGCGGUGAAUUUUGUCCUAGGCUAAAUACAGGAGAGAGACCGAUAACUAACAAGUACCACGAGGGAAAGAUCAAAAGGACUUUGAAAAUAGAGUCAAAGAGUGCUUGAAAUUAUCGGGAGGGAAGCAGAUGGAAGCUGACGAUGCACCCUGGUCAGAUGUGGAACGGUGAUGAGCUGGUUCGUCAAUCGACUCGGGGUGUGGACCAGCAUGGAUUAAGGGGGCGGUCAAAGCCUGGAUAUGCCCGUGGAAUGCUGUCUUAUUGAUUUUGGUACGAAGCGUGCGCUUCUGGCGUGCUUCGACAUCUGUCUGCUCCGGACACUGGCUGUGGGCUCCCCAUUCGACCCGUCUUUAAACACGGACCAAGGAUUUUGACAUGUGUCCAAGUCAACGGGCUAGUAAAUUCACAAGGGAUAAGGAAUCUGAUUGGUGGGAUCCUCUUGAGGGGUGCACCGCCGACCGACCUUGAUCUUCUGAGAAGGGUUCGAGUGUGAGCAUACCUGCUGGGACCCGAAAGAUGGUGAACUAUGCCUGAGCGGGGGAGAAGCCAAAGCAUACUCUAGUGGAGGACCGUUGUGAUACUGACGUGCAAAUCGUUCAUCUGACUUAGGUAUAGGGGCGAAAGACUAAUUGAACCAUCUAGUAGCUAGUUCCCUUCGAAGUUUCCCUCAAAAUAGCUAGAGAUCGGGUGCGAAUUUUAUCGGAUAAAGCCAAUGAUUUGAGGAUUCAUGGGGCAACACCCAGACCUAUUUUCAAACUUUAAAAUCAGAAGGAUGACAUGACUGCUUUGUUGAGCUGCACCACGGAAUCAAGAACUCCAAGUGGGCCAUUUUUGGUAAGCUGGACUGGCGAUGAGGGAUGAACCGAAAGCCGGCUUAUGGUUCCAAACUGCAUUCUAACCAAGAUCCAACAAAGGGUGUUGGUCAAUUAAGACAGCAGGAAAGUGGUCAUGGAUGUCAAAAUCUGCUAAGGAGUUUGUACCAACUCACCUGCCGAGUAAACUAGCCCCGAAAAUGGAUGAGCACUUAAGCACGCGACCUACACUUAGCCGUCAGGGUAAGUCCCAGAUCCCGAUGAGUUGGAGGGAAUGGCGGUCUCUACAAAACAUUGGGCAUGAGCCUGUGCGGAGCACCCGUUAGUGUAGAUCUUGGUGGUAGUAGAAAAUAUUCAAAUGAGAACUUUGAAGGUCUAAAAGGGGAAAGGUUCAAUGUGAACGGCACCAGCACAUAGGUUAGUCAAUCCUAUGGGUCGGGGGAACCCCGACAAAUAGCGCGUUUCGCGCGUACUCCGUAAGGAAAUAGGUUAAAAUUCCUGAACCGGAACGUGGAGGUUGACGACAACAUUAGGAAGUCGGCUAACGUUGGUGGGAGCUUCGGGAAGAGUUGUCUUUUCUGUUUAACAGCAUGCCCACCAUGGAAUAGGCUUGCCGGAGGUAGGGUCCAGCGGCUGGAAGAGCACCACACGUCACGUGGUGCCUGGUGCACUCCCGGCGAUCCUUGAAAAUCCAGAGGACCUAAUGCCGUCCACACUUGGUCAUACUCAUAACUGCAUCAGGUCUCCAAGGUGAACAACCUUUAGUUGAUGGAACAAUAUAGGCAAGGAAAGUCGGUAAAAUAGAUCCGUAACUUCGUGAAAGAUAUAUGCUCGGAGUGUUUGGCAUGGGGGUCCUAGUACCGAACCCACUGGCUGUCGAUGAACUGCAUGAGUUGAUCCCGCAGAAAUAUUGGGUCGGCGUGUGCCGGCCGGGGGACGGACUGGGAACGGUUCCUUCGGGGGCCUUCCCCGGGAGUCAAACAACCAACUCAGAACUGUUACAAACAAGGGGAAUUUGACUAUUUAUUUAAAACAAAGCAUUGCGAUGGUCCCAACGGAUGUUUACACAAUGUGAUUUUUGUCUAGUGCUCUGAAUGUCAAAGUGAAGAAAUUCAACCUUGCGGGGGUAAACGGUCGGAGUAACUACGACUCUCUUAAGGUAGCCAAAUGCCUCUUCAUCUAAUUAGUGAUGCAUAUGAAUGUAUUAAUAAGAUUCCCACUAUCCCUGUCUAAUAUACAGCGAAACCACAGCUAAGGGAACAUGUUUGGCAGAAUUAGCGGGGAAAGAAGACCCUUUUGAGCUUUAAUCUAGUCCGACUUUAUGAAAUGACUUGAGAGGUGUAGUAUAAGUGGGAGUCGAACGGCGAAAGUGAAAUACUACUACUUUUAACGUUAUUUUACUUUUUCCGUGAAUCAGAAAGGGGGACUACCCUCUUUUUGGACCCAAGUCUCGCUUUGCGGGUCGAUACGGGGGGAAGACAUUGUCAAUUGGGGAGUUUGGCUGGGUGGCACAUCUAUUAAAAGAUAAUGCAGGUGUCCUAAGAUGAGCUCAACGAAAAUAGAAAAAUCGUGUGGAUCAGAAGGACAAAAGCUUGUUUGAUUCUGAUUUCCUGUACGAAUACGAACCGUGAAUGUGUGGCCUAACGAUCUUUUAGACCUUCAGAGUUCUAAGCUAGAGGUGUCAGAAAAGUUACCAACAAGGAUAACUAGCUUGUGGCAGCCAAGCUAUAUAGCGAAAUUUAUUUUUGAUCUUUCGAUGUCGGCUCUUCCUAUCAUUGUGAAGAAAAAUUCACCAAGUGUUGGAUUGUUCACCCACAAAUAGGGAACGUGAGCUGUGUUUAGACCAUCAUGAUAGAGGUUAGUUUUACCCUACUGAUGACAGUGUCGCAAUAGUAAUUAAACCUAGUAAGAGAGGAACCGUUAAUUCGCAUAAUUUGUCAUCCCGCUUGGUUGAAAAGCCAGUGGCACGAAACUAGUGUGUGUUGGAUUAUGACUGAACGCCUCAAAGUCAGAAUCCAGGCAAGAAGCGACGCAUGCGCCCGCCGUCAGCUUGCCGACCCACAGUAUGGGCCUUUAGCCCCCAAGUGAACCAUUUGUUGGCUAAGUCACCGCGAUGGAAGCAUCGCGGUGACUUCCUUAAAGUACAAUGUCCAUCCAGUGGUGGGUAGUAUCCUCAGCAGAAGACAUAAAUACACGACGGGGUAUUGUAAGUGGAAGAGUAGCCUUGCUGCCACGAUCCACUGAGAUACAACCCUUUGUCACUUCGAUUCGU